rnacentral:rRNA from 1 species
CCUACGGGAGGCAGCAGUGAGGAAUAUUGGUCAAUGGACGCAAGCCUGAACCAGCCACGCCGCGUGCAGGAAGACGGCUCUCUGAGUUGUAAACUGCUUUUGUACGAGGGUAAACGCAGAUACGCGUAUCUGUCUGAACGUAUCGUACGAAUAAGGAUCGGCUAACUCCGUGCCAGCAGCCGCGGUAAUACGGAGGAUUCAAGCGUUAUCCGGAUUUAUUGGGUUUAAAGGGUGCGUAGGCGGUCGGAUAAGUUAGAUGUGAAAUCCCGAGGCUCAACUUCGGAAUUGCCUCUGAUACUGUUCGGCUAGAGAGUAGUAGCGGUAGGCGGAAUGUAUGGUGUAGCGGUGAAAUGCUUAGAGAUCAUACAGAACACCGAUUGCGAAGGCAGCUUACCAAGCUACUUCUGACGUUGAGGCACGAAAGCGUGGGGAGCAAACAGGAUUAGAUACCCGAGUAGUC